rnacentral:tRNA from 1 species
GGGCUUGUAGCUCAGAGGAAGAGCGUUUCUCUGAUAAAGAAAAGGUCGAUGGUUCGAGUCCAUCCAAGCCCACAA